ensembl:lncRNA
GCCUCCUCAAUACUAUGAACGAGAUACUUCUCAUUCGUAAGCCUCCUGCCAGUCGAAAGGUUCUUCUGAAGAUUGUCAAGGUCAUUCUUCGAAACGGGGCACACAAGAUAAAAGCUUAUGCCAUCUUAGAUGAUGGAUCGGAGAGGACCAUCCUUUUGCACAAUGCUGCUCAACAGUUGGGCCUGAAAGGUCAGCCAGAAGAUCUUCCACUUCGCACAGUUAGGCAGGAAUUACAAAUGCUCACUGGUGCAUCAGUGUCAUUUCAUAUCUCCCCCCUGUCUCAGCCCAGCAAACUGUAUCGCAUAAAGGGUGCAUUCACAGCCCAGCAGCUAAGUCUUGCUGAACACACACAUCCGGUUAAGACUUUGAGAGAGAAAUACCACCACCUCAGAGGGCUUCCUUUGAGCCAUUUAGAGUCAGUUCGCCCUGUCCUGCUCAUUGGAUCAGACUAUCCCCACCUCAUUACAGCAGUGGAGCCAAUCCGUCUAGGCCCCCCAGGGGGACCAGCAGCUAUCAAGACUCGUCUCGGAUGGGCUUUGCAAGGUCCUGUACAACACCUGCAACAUGAGGUCACUGAACAACAGUGUCUUUUAACCUCAGUAGCACCACCUGAAACUGAUCUUCUCAGACAAGUGGAGAGACUCUGGCAGAUGGACGUGCUUCCAUGGCAAAGUGAAAAAAUGAGCACAAGAUCCAGACAAGAUCAGGAAGCAGUGAAAAUUCUGGAAAGCAAGACAGUGAGAGUAGAGGUGGAUGGCGUCAAGCGCUAUGCAACCCCACUUUUGCGCGUUAAAAACAUGCCAGACCUUAAGGCUCCCAAAAAUGCUGUUCUCCCACAUCUGCGGGCCAUAGAGAGAAGGCUGGCCAAAGAUCCAGAGCAAGCAGCUGCCUACACAGCAGAAAUUCAGAAACUAGAGCGGGCAGGUUAUGCAGUCAAGGUGGAACUAAAUGUUGAAGAAUGUCUAACCAACACCUGGUACAUUCCCCAUCAUCUGGUCCAACACAACGGGAAGAACAGGGUUGUAUUUAAUUGCUCAUUUCAGUAUCAGGGCCAAAACCUUAACAAGCUCUUGCUCCCUGGUCCUGUGUUAGGCCCAUCUCUUCUUGCAGUGCUGCUCAGGUUCAGAGAGCAUUCCGUUGCUAUCAGCAGUGAUAUAAAGGGGAUGUUCCACCAGAUCAGAUUGCUUCCCGAAGACAGGCCACUUCUGCGAUUCCUCUGGAGGGAUCUAAAUCCACAGGAUCCACCUAACAUUUAUGAAUGGCGGGUUCUCCCCUUUGGCACCACAUGCAGCCCUUGCUGUGCCAUCUUUGCAUUACAAAAACACAUCCUGGACCAUAGCCAACCUGGGGAAGACGUCCGCCAUGCUGUACUGAAGUCUUUCUAUGUUGAUAACUUUCUGCAGAGUUUCACCUCAGUAGAGGCAGGCAAGGGUCUCGUUGACAAACUCCGGAGCUUAUUGGCAGAAGGGGGUUUCGACCUGAGGCAGUGGUCCAGUAACCAACUCUCCACCAUAAGCCAUUUACCUCCUGAGGCCAGAUCUGACAGCACUGAAUUUUGGAUUUCACAAGGAUAAGAAAAGAGACUGGGAUGACCCGCACUUACCUGCAGAUCUUCUACAGACCUGGACAGAGUGGGUGGAGGAGCUGCCUGCCCUACAACACAUUGUCUUUCCAAGGUGUUAUACCA